rnacentral:rRNA from 1 species
UACGUAGGCAGCGAGCGUUGUUCGGAUUUAUUGGGCGUAAAGAGCUCGUAGGCGGCUUGUCGCGUCGUCCGUGAAAACUUGGGGCUCAACCCCAAGCUUGCGGUCGAUACGGGCAGGCUAGAGUUCGGUAGGGGAGACUGGAAUUCCUGGUGUAGCGGUGAAAUGCGCAGAUAUCAGGAGGAACACCGGUGGCGAAGGCGGGUCUCUGGGCCGAUACUGACGCUGAGGAGCGAAAGCGUGGGGAGCGAACAGG